CGAUUCUGGCUCAGAUUGAACGCUGGCGGCGUGCUUAACACAUGCAAGUCGCGCGUGAAAGGACUUCGGUCCGAGUAAAGCGGCGCACGGGUGAGUAACGCGUGGAUGAUCUACCCAUGAGUUGGGAAUAACGGCUGGAAACGGUCGCUAAUACCGAAUACGCUCCGAUUUCAUCUUCGGGGGAAAGGUGGCCUCUGCUUGCAAGCUACUGCUCAUGGAUGAGUCCGCGUCCCAUUAGCUAGUUGGUGGGGUAACGGCCCACCAAGGCGACGAUGGGUAGCCGGUCUGAGAGGAUGACCGGCCACACUGGGACUGGAACACGGCCCAGACUCCUACGGGAGGCAGCAGUGGGGAAUAUUGCGCAAUGGGCGAAAGCCUGACGCAGCGACGCCGCGUGAAGGGAUGAAGGUCCUCGGAUCGUAAACCUCUGUCAGGAGGGAAGAACCGCCACGGUGCUAAUCAGCCGUGGUCUGACGGUACCUCCAAAGGAAGCACCGGCUAACUCCGUGCCAGCCGCGGC
rnacentral:rRNA from 1 species